AUGCAUGCAAGAAAUAGAAGCAGAUUUGCGGGAGGUACAAGUAGUUACAUAAGUUGUUCCUAUUCUUUGAACAUAACCUGUCAUACAAUCAGAGCAGCACAGUGCUCAAGAUACUGUGACAGUCCUCUGGAGGUGUCUGUCUUGCUCUGCAAGCAAGUCUGUUACCUGAAGCUCAAUACAUGCCUCCUCAAAGCUGGAAUUCCAGUGCAGCCAUCAUGCAAGCAGGUUCAGAAUGACAGGAGCACUGAAGAACUGGAGGAGGAAAUAUUUGCAGCAAGUCUAAAUGGCCAAGAUAAACAUGUCUGGAUUUGUUUCAUUGUAGAGGAGGACCUGAAUGACAAGGCCUUAUUACUAGGAAGCUGAGAAGCACCCAGUUUGUCUUCAGCAUUAUGGUAAUCUCCAUGAAGUGUUCAGAGGCAGGGGAAGGAGAAACUGUGGCUACCCUACUGCCUGUUAUUGGUAUUAAAGUGAUCUGUUAUUGGUAUUAAAGCAAUGCGAGAAGAAUAUGGCCUGUUUGAUUCUUAACACUGCAUUCCUUGAUGAAGAGAAAUAGUACCCAGGGCAAAGAUGAGUAUCAAUUAAGCUAUGUUGCUUUGGUUACUAGUAAUGAUGUCAGAAAAUCUCAGGAUUAUUGCAUUUAAGAUGAACGUUAACUUUUUAGCUUACCUUGUUACAUCUCAGAAAGAAAUGUUCACUUCAGUGCACUUUGGAAACUAUGUGCGCUGGAGUUUAGAAAACAAGAUUAUGCAGGGUCUUUCAAUGGGACUUCUGCAAGGCUGUCUACAACAAGAGAAGUACUUUGUGCCACCAGACUCCUAUGGGCUCUGAAGCAGAACAUAUGUUCAGUGGUCUGUGGUUGCUAGGUGGUUCUGCCAGGAUAAAGCACUAAAUAGCAUCUCUUACUCUGCUACUAUGCCUCUUUGCAGCCCCCCAUGGUCUGCUUUAUCUGUGGUUCUUCAAGCAGUGCUUGAGUAAGGGAGGUGGGUGGCUUUGACUGCUUGCUCCUGCUCAGGAUUCCUUGGUUAAGUAUCUCUAGUGUUGUAGAAUUAGGGCAAUAUAUGGUCAGGUUGAGGUUGGACUUGAUGAUCUUUAAGGUCUUUUCCAAGCUGAGCAACUCUAUGAAUCUAUGAAGAUGCUGGAAAGAAUAUUUCAUCUAAAAACUAUGAGUUUGGAUCAAAAGUAAUCUGCACUCAAGCCUGCUGAUGCCAUCCAUUUUUAGCCAGACUCUCCCUUAAGGGCUUUCCUGUGAGCUUCAGCUUCUUGUGUUGUUUUCCCCGGUUGGUGCUGUCUAGUGCAGUGGGCGCUGAAGCCAUUGGAAGUUCGAUCAUUGACUUUCAUGAAGGAAACCUCAGGAUCUGAGCGUUUGAGCUGGGGAGGGUACUUAGCAGUACUCAAGCAAAGAUCUGACCGAGUCAACGGGAGUUUUGCCACCUUUGGAAAAUGCAGGACGGCACUCUGCCUUUGCACUGUCCUCCCUCCUGCUACAGGGUGACAGCAAAACAAACCGAAACCAGUGUGUUGUACUCCCUUCAGCCUGCUUGAAAAGAAAAUGUUUUUCAAAAUUACAACUUAGGGAGAAAAUCAGCUCUUAAAUGUUGAAAAACCCUUUGAAAAACAGGGAAUUUGAAACACAAUUAUUAUCCCAGAUAAUCCCAAUGCUCACACUAUAUGAACUUUAAAAUGGGUUAAAAAUGCUGUGUUUUUGCAUACUGUCGUUUCCUCUUUAGGUAUAUGUAGAACGAUGGGGUUACAAAAGGGUAACCCUUUUUGUAUCAUAAAGAGUUUAUUCCAGAAUAAACUUCAGGAAUUUUCUUGAUUCAGCUUUGCACAUACGCUAGAAUGAAAUGUAACUAGGAAGUUUUGUAUGCAAAUGGAAUUGCCAUCGCUAAUUGGUAGUUCCAAGAAGACAGCCCUCCCUGGGGUCCAGGCCAAAGCAAUGGACAGACAAGGAAAAAAAAACUCCAUCUCUUUUAUGUGAAAUCUAUCCUUUUUCUUCCAUACACUUUUCUUAAUGAAUGAAGAGGGCUGGCCAUACGGUUUGAUCUUUUGGGUUGUCCCGUGUGGAGCCAGGAGUUGGACUCGACGAGCUUUGUGGGACCGGGAAUAUCCUGUGCCCGUAUGAAAUACGGCAGUGCCCGGCGAUGCUCCGCUCCACCGUGGGUGAAAGCGGCAGCGGGCAGCCAGGGGCGGUGCUGGGCUGGGCAGCCGGGCUCUCCGAGAGCUGGGGGCUGCUCUCGCCCUGCGAAAAGGAAGGCAUCGCUACAAAGGGGCAACCUUUACGACUGAACUGUUCGGUUGGAGGAAGUUUCUUGGCUGUAAACUGUCAUGCACUGCAGCUCGCGGUGAAAAGGCUCUGGGAGCGAGGAGUUUUCUCUCCUAAGAGAAACCGGAAUGCAAUUAAGAUCAGAAAGGAGGAGAAGGAAAUAAAAUAACAUCAGGAAUGCAGGCUGAAGGGUAAUUUUUUUGUUUGUUGUUUUUUUUUGUUUGUUUGUUUUGUUU
rnacentral:lncRNA from 1 species